CCUACGGGUGGCAGCAGUGAGGAAUAUUGGUCAAUGGUCGGGCGACUGAACCAGCCAAGCCGCGUGAGGGAUGAAGGUACAGAGUAUCGUAAACCUCUUUUGUCAGGGAACAAAGGCGGGUACGUGUCCCCGGAUGAGUGUACCCGAAGAAAAAGCAUCGGCUAACUCCGUGCCAGCAGCCGCGGUAAUACGGAGGAUGCGAGCGUUAUCCGGAUUUAUUGGGUUUAAAGGGUGCGGAGGCGGUCUGUUAAGUUAGCGGUAAAAGCCCGGGGCUCAACCCCGGCCCGCCGUUGAAACUGGCAGUCUCGAGUUGGAGAGAAGUAUGCGGAAUGCGCGGUGUAGCGGUGAAAUGCAUAGAUAUCGCGCAGAACUCCGAUUGCGAAGGCAGCAUGCCGGCUCCACACUGACGCUGAGGCACGAAAGCGUGGGUAUCGAACAGGAUUAGAUACCCCUGUAGUC
rnacentral:rRNA from 1 species